GACGAACGCUGGCGGCGUGCUUAACACAUGCAAGUCGAACGGAAAGGCCUGCUUUCCCUUGUGGAUUGGGGGUACUAGAGGGGCGAACAGGUGAGUAACACGUGAGUGAUCUGCCCCCAACUUGGGUAGAAGCCUGGGAAACUGGGUCAAAUGCCCGAUAGGACUGCAGGGUGGUGCCGGUGGUGGAAGACGAUGUUCUAGUGGUUGGGGUUGAGCUGGCGGCCUAUCAGCUUGUUGGUGGGGUAAUGGCCGACCAAGGCGGGGACGGGUAGCCGGCCUGGGAGUGUGGACCGUCACAUUGGGACCGGGAUACGGCCCAGACUCCUACGGGCGGCAGCAGUGGGGGAUAUUGCAGAAUGGGCGGAAGCCUGAUGCGGCGACGCCGCGUGGGGGAUGGCGGCCUUCGGGUUGUAAGCUCCUGUGGACCGCGAGGAAGCCACCUGGUUGGAAGGGUGGUGACGGUAGUGGUAGAAGAAGCACCGGCUAACUACGUG
rnacentral:rRNA from 1 species